rnacentral:lncRNA from 1 species
CGGGGGUGGAAAAUAGAUCUUCCAAGGGCCACUAAAGCGAUGGUGGCUCUUUUGCCUGAGGUGUUUGCUCACAGUGUUAAGGAAAGUAAUGACCACUGCCAUGCCCUGCAACAACACUGGGGACACAAGAAAAGAAGGCACCGUUUAGGGAGAGGAAAAUUCCUUCAUUUCUGAGCAUCUUAAGUAUGAGUCUUCUAGAGCAUCUUAUUUAUUUAUACCUUAUUUACCUUUCUCCAGGGAAGCUUGAAUGUGAGAUAAUAUAAACGCACAUACAAUAAAAUGAAAAGAAAAAACAGAAAAACCAAAGAUGUGUGGAGACAAAACUGGGACUAUCAGAAGCUAGGAAUUCAUAAGUUAGUGCAAAAAGCAUGUGCUGCGAUGUCCUCAGGUUUUCUAGAAGUUCACAAAAGUACUUCCACACCAGGGCCAUCUGACCAAGUCAGAGUCUAAAAUGGAAAAACCCACAGUGUCUGCCAGCUCUUCCUAACAAGCACAGGAGAGAGCGGUCCGCUAUGGUACUUCCCGAGGAGGGAGCUGUGACACAAUGAACCAGUGCUCUGCGAUACCCUUCCAUGACUAACGCGCCACAGUCUUCCCCAGCAGAGGCUCAUGGCUCAGAUCUGGGAAUUUUCUAAACAGAUGUGGAAACCGGAGACCCUUCCUACACUGUCACGUUCAUCACGAUCCCUCAGAGACACCGGGAGCAGCAAGUUCACAGUCACCUUGUCGAACUAACACCUGGACGAUGGCUGCUCUGAGUGCCAAGCCAGAAGCUGGUGAGGCUGGUGCUGCUUCAGGGUGUGGGAGCAUUGGGAUGGGCAGAGCCGAGGACAGAGCCUAGCCAUGCCCUGCGCCUCCUGGAAGGCUUCUGACAUUCUGCAGAGACGAUGGAGGGGAGAGGGAGACAUGGCUGUGGGUGAGGUGUGUGGGGAAGCUCUGCUGGGUAGGUGAUGAGCUGGGGGAACAUGUGGAUAAAGUGACUGAGGGGGAACCUUGGGGUACAUUGGGCAGCGUGAGCGCUGGGCAGGUGUGAGCACAAGCAAGACCUUCUGGUGAAGGAGGGUAAAUUCCACAGCUGACUGAAGCAAGGCGGCUCACACCUAGAAUGCCAGAUCUUGAAGGCCGAGGCAGGAGGUUUAUUUAUCAUCAGUUCAAGGCCAGCCUGAGCUACAGAGUUAGACCCCUGUCUCAUUCUCACCUUAUCUCUAAGGAAAAAAGGAGCAGAGUGUAUAUUAACUGCAGAUGCCUUUAAAUGCUCUUAGUGGCAAAUUAAAGGCAAUAAUGGCGGGGAUAGCUGAAUCCUAAAAUUCCCAAUGGCAUGUUUACUUCCUGUGAAGACAUAAUGUCUGUUCGGCUCAGGGUGCUAUGGGAGGCUCUGUUCUAUACAGGGGUUAGUCAGGUUUUACUUGCAGAGGGGCAAGGAGGAGCCUUGCAGAUGAGCCAGCCUUAAUGUGUGUUGCAGAUUCCUGGGGUCUGCAGUGUGACAGUCACAGAAACUUGGUGGCUCAGAUCAACGGCGUCUAAUCUCUCCUGGCUCUGAAGAGGAGAAGGUGGGAGUCAGGGCCUUAGGCUCUGGGGGACCAUCCUUUUUUUGCUUCUCCCAGUUUAUGAUGGUUUCCCACAUGCCUUGGUGUUGUUCCUGGUGUUGUCUCUCUCCAUGGCCAUCUUACUCAGAUGACAGUUACUGGAUGCAGGGCAGACCUUAACCCAGUAUGACCUCAUCCGGUUUUGCAAAGAUCCCACUUCCAAAUGAAGUGACAAUCACAGAUACCAGUGAUUUGCAACUGGACAUACCACUUGGCGUUGUGGCACACACAUGCACGCUUCAAAGCACGGCGUGUAAGAGGUUUUAUGGGGCUAGAAGUUUCCUCUGCUCACAUCCUCUGGCUGCAAUACUGCCAUGUGCCCACAUGCUAAAAGUAUACAGGGCUGUAGAAGAUGGUCUCCAUGCCCCGGAAGAAGAGAAAAAAUAGUCAGAGAGCUUUUCAGCUUCGUCAUACGUCCUAGCAGGUAAGAUGAGGAAGCAAAGUGGAUUUCGAGGACUGACUGGAAGGAACAGGACGGGGCCAUCCGGAGAAGAGCUCAUUUAGGGACUGCAGGCUUGGAUGGAGAACCAACCCUGCAUAGGAAGAGAAAGCAGCGAGGGGAAUGCAAAGCGCACAGAAUCAUUUGUGUAAGAUGAGGGAACUCAGGGUGGGGCGGGUGAAGAAGCCGGGAUGGGCAGUAAAGAUAUGUAGGACUAGGCAUGAUGAGUGGACUGUUUAGAGUUCCUGAGACCAAUCACACACGAGGAAGACAUCAGCCUAUCCUGAAACAGACUAUAAAGCAGGGUGCGAGCCUGUGAAAUACAGAAUGUUAAGGGAAAAGAGGGCUGGAGUUUGUCUGGCUUUUCAAGCCUAUUGUCCAACUUCUUUCGGGCUAUCCUGGGGCAUAUUUCGCAGGGUCCAUUGUACAUCUUUAUACACUUGUGUACUCACACUACACAGAGAUAAUGUUAGGAAACCCCCACGGGUGUAAUUCCCCUCCCUCUGCUGAGUGCUGUUGGACAUCAGUGGUGUAGUGAGCCUGAGAGUCCCUGCAGAAAUGUUGGCUCGGCCAGAAGAUCACCUGCUGGUGGCGGAGCAAAACAGUAAUUAACACCUGGCUAAAUGCAAUGACACCUCUGUUGCCAAGAAACAGUGGUGCAGCAGAAGGUCCUGCCUAGUGCUUCCUGGUGUGACAUCAUUACUUCUGAGAGGCUCUGACCAUGGGACUCUGUGCACUGAGAAUAGGUGCCCGUCUGGAGAGGUAAGGGACCCCUCUGCAGCCUUUCAGGGAGAAUACUGUGAUGUGCAAACAUGGCUGCGCUGGAGCGAGCAGCUCAUUCAGAUACACAUGUCCUAGAUGAGGUCUCUAAUAUCUUUAUUGAUAAGGAAGGGGCGGGCAUGUUGGGUAUCUUGUUCAAGGUCACAGAGCACAAAUGUAGCUGAGGCCAAGACCUAAAUCGGGUCUGACCAUGCACCUGUUUCACCUGAGUGCCCUUGUCUGUCACUAUACCAGGCCUCUGCUAUAAGAACCCAUUUAAAUAAAGGGUCUAGG